rnacentral:rRNA from 1 species
AGCGAACGCUGGCGGCAGGCCUAACACAUGCAAGUCGAACGAACUCUUCGGAGUUAGUGGCGGACGGGUGAGUAACACGUGGGAACGUGCCUUUUGGUUCGGAAUAACCCAGGGAAACUUGUGCUAAUACCGAAUGUGCCCUUCGGGGGAAAGAUUUAUCGCCAUUAGAGCGGCCCGCGUCUGAUUAGCUAGUUGGUGAGGUAACGGCUCACCAAGGCGACGAUCAGUAGCUGGUCUGAGAGGAUGACCAGCCACACUGGGACUGAGACACGGCCCAGACUCCUACGGGAGGCAGCAGUGGGGAAUCUUGCGCAAUGGGCGAAAGCCUGACGCAGCCAUGCCGCGUGAAUGAUGAAGGUCUUAGGAUUGUAAAAUUCUUUCACCGGGGACGAUAGUGACGGUACCCGGAGAAGAAGCCCCGGCUAACUUCGU